rnacentral:rRNA from 1 species
AGGGAAUCUUCCGCAAUGGACGAAAGUCUGACGGAGCAACGCCGCGUGAGUGAUGAAGGUUUUCGGAUCGUAAAGCUCUGUUGCCAGGGAAGAACGUCCGUUAGAGUAACUGCUAACGGAGUGACGGUACCUGAGAAGAAAGCCCCGGCUAACUACGUGCCAGCAGCCGCGGUAAUACGUAGGGGGCGAGCGUUGUCCGGAAUUAUUGGGCGUAAAGCGCGCGCAGGCAGCUGUUUAAGUCUGGUGUUUAAUCCUGGGGCUCAACCCCGGGUCGCACUGGAAACUGGGCAGCUUGAGUGCAGAAGAGGAGAGUGGAAUUCCACGUGUAGCGGUGAAAUGCGUAGAGAUGUGGAGGAACACCAGUGGCGAAGGCGACUCUCUGGUCUGCAACUGACGCUGAGGCGCGAAAGCGUGGGGAGCGAAC